CAAAUCCGUGAGUUUGGGCGUUGGUGGUGGUAAAACAUCUCCUCGCCCGAAUGAACACAUUGGCUCAAGGCCGCAAGGUCUUGAUGUUUACGCUUGUUUGUUUGACAGAGUAAAAUGUGACUAAAUAUAUACAACUUUUAACAAUGGAUCUCUUGGCUCUUGCAACGAUGAAGAACGCAGUAAAGUGCGAUAUGUAGUGCGAUUUGCAUGAAUCUGUGAGUCAUCUAAUCUUUGAACGCAACUUGCGCCUCUCUGAGGCAUGUCUGUUUGAGUGCCGCAUAUCUCUAUGCAGCAAUGCGAUUUGAUCAAUGUCUCUGGACUAGAUCUAAACGUAGCCAGAUAGUGGCAGUGCUACUAGUCCGAGUGCUAAGCAUUCUUGGCACUAGUAUCACUCCCACCCGAUCACAACGAUCAAUCUGUUAC
rnacentral:misc_RNA from 1 species